rnacentral:rRNA from 1 species
UACGUAGGGGGCAAGCGUUGUCCGGAAUCAUUGGGCGUAAAGAGCGCGUAGGCGGCCCGAUAAGUCCGCUGUGAAAGUCAAGGGCUCAACCCUUGAAUGCCGGUGGAUACUGUCGGGCUAGAGUCCGGAAGAGGCGAGUGGAAUUCCUGGUGUAGCGGUGAAAUGCGUAGAUAUCGAGAGGAACACCUGCGGCGAAGGCGGGUAGCUGGGCCGACACUGACGCUGAGGCGCGAAAGCUAGGGUAGCAAACGGG